CUGAGGCUGGGCUGGGUGAUGGUGGAUGGUGGUCCCUGCAGGAUUUGCACCCUGCCUUUCCACCUUUUGGGGUCUGUGCUCUCACCCUGAGGCUGAGGGUCUCCCCUGUGUACCUCUAAGACCAGCUCUGCACAGGCUUAAUACACAGGCUGGUGUCCAGUAAAUGUGUGUUGAAGGUCUCCACGCAUCUCAUCGAAUAGCCUGGCAACAAGACAGGAGGUGGCCAUGAGGAAGAGUGGCCGCCCCAGAGCCUGAUGUGCAGGUGGCAGGAGGCCAAGUGCGGGCCCCUUCCCGCCCAUGCUGUGGGGAGAGCAGGCCUUAUUUGGAGGUCCCUGUCCUACUCUGUGCCCCAUAUCCCGGGCCCACCCCCCUGCAGUACCUGCCCAGCCCCGCCAGGCCUGCAGGCUAGGGUCCCAGGGCUGGGCCCCCUGCCGCUCUCCGCUCACUGUCAGGACCUCUGCUGUCUGCUCAGCCAGCCUUCUUGACCCCCGGCCCCACCACAGCUGGUGGAUGAGCUUCCUCUUCCUCCAGCCUGUCUGAGCCCACAAGCCACCGCGCGGUAUCGGCUCCGACUACUGUUUUCCCAGAGGUGGUUCGCCCAGAGCCAGAACUCAGAAUCCACAUGCAGAGGCUACUGAAGAAAAGGCUGAGUUGUUGGAGGCUCUUAGGCCUUAAAGGAAGCAACCCAGGCUGCUUCCCCUGCCCCCACGCAACGCUGCCGCCUACAUUUCCUUCUAGACACAGAGCUUCACAGCAGGAAGGCCUGCCCGCCAGAGCCUCAGGCCGGGCCAGGCGCUCCAUCUGCCUGCCUGCCCUGGGCCUGGAUGUCUGCCCGAGCAGAUGCUAUUUAACUUGCUGCAGGAGAAGUGUCUGUAAAUGUUAACUACUGACCUAAAAGCAGCCUGUCAGAAGCACCCAGCUGCUGGGUCCGUCCCCACUAUGGAGGCCACGACCCUAAUGACUGCACAACUUGCUUUCUCCAGGGGGGGUUCUUGCCGAUCCCCAUCACAAGAUGUUGCUGCCCUGAGAUCGCGGAGCUGCACUGAAGGAGAAGCAGAACCACAGAGGAAGAAGAGGAUCUCACGGCUGCACAGGGACUUCACUCUGCGUGGGAAAGACACACCCUUUGGACACCCCCACACACCAGACACUGGGAUUGCAGCGAGUGAGAAAAAACUAGACAGUGGCUGUGUCUCCCUGCUCUGUGGUGUGAGUUACAGGGCUCAGCAACGCCCUGUAACUGGGACAAACAGAAGACACGCUGGGCUCAUAAAUCUUUCUUCUUGGCCCAGUGUGAAUCAAGAGGCCAUUUUCCAGAAAUGAGCAUCCACAGACUUUUGAGGCCUUUCUCCCGAAAGACUGUGAUAUUCUCCUGCUGUCUGGAGUGAAUGCCAUCUAAAUCCAGCUUUCCCAUGAUGUAACUGGCAGGCAGCAUCACCCCCAGAGAUCUGGAGAUUUAGGAGGGGUCUGAUUCGAGCACAGAGGUGCUCCGGGAAGUGGAAUCAAGUGUCUGGGCCUGUGCGGUCACCACAGCAUUUCCCUGCCUGCUUCUGGGUAUACUUCUGGGAAAGACCAACAUGCUGUCCUAUCACCCGGGAGAUGUGGAUGACUGCUUGAAAAUCUGUAUUUGAAGGACCCCCCACCCCGACCCAACGUGCCUACAGAGUGACACCUCUGCGGUCCCCUGUACUUGGGGAGCACAUGGGCCACGCUUGCCCCCUUGUAUGGACAGAAGAGGUUUCCUGGCCUGGCUCAGUAGAGACAGGGAGAGGGGAGGGAAAGAGGCGGGGACAGGUCCAGCCCAACACUCAUAAAACCUCUUCAUCUGCAUGUUUAUGGGCCCAGGUCCCUGAAGUGAGUCUUUAAAGUCACACAGCAGGCUCCUGUGUGCUCAUGAGAUCCCUCCGAUCUGUGGAUCUGUGAUAUGCUGCCCUCAGCAACACUUGCUGCCCAGGCCACUCUGGUCCCCUCCCAUGUCACGGCCAUUGGGCGACAGGGAAGCAAGGGGCUGGAGAGUCCAGGGAUAGUCCUAGCGCUGAGUGAGGGUGGAGCUGGGGGUGCAGGGCCCUGGGCUGGGGGUGCUGCUGGGCACAGGUUCCCCAGCUUCUUGGGGAGAUUCCACAUUCUCUCAUUAUCUUCUGCCCAACUACCUGGUGGAGGGCAGGCAUCCCUGGUGACAUCCCAGGGUCCCCAAGCUAUGUCCCAGCUCUUCCUCAUUCCAGAGAAAGUGUGUGGAAUAGGGUUGCCAGAUAAGUCACAGAUAGCCCAGUUAAAUUUGAAUUUGUUGAAAAACAAGUCGUUUUUUUAGUACAAGUAUUUCCCAUAUAUUGCAUAGGAUAUACUUAUACUAAAAAAUUACUUGUUUAUCUGAAAUUCAAAUUUAACUGGCUGUCCUGUGAUUUUAUUUGUUGAAUUUGGUCACCUUAACUUGUAAGGAACCACAGUUACUGCUGCAGGUCACUGAAAGCCCUCCCUGUGUUCCAGGCACUGGGCUGAGCCUUUGCAUGUGUUAUUUCAUUUAAACCUUAUCAAUUCACUGCAUCCCAAACUUGGAUGAUUUACUUACUACUUUCAGGAUGUUUGCCGUAUCUUUUGCACACCGCUGGUACUAUUUUUUAUUUAAUUCUUUUCUUUAGAUCAAUUUCCUUUUUCUAAAAAAAAGAAUUUUUAAAUGAAAUUUUAUAUGCACUAUGAAUUGUCAUAAUAGUUGCACAAUUAAACACAAUAUGAUCAUGGUAUUGCCUGCUGGAUACUCUCGCCUGCUGGAAAAUUGGAGGCUGUGGUAUUCUGAGGUAUUUUGAUCACUGAUUGAGAGGUCCAGACUCCUGCUGUGGCUGAUACUGUUCUCUACCAUCGUCUCAUCUUCCUUGCUGGAAGAGUCCUCCUCCUCCGAGAAAGGCUAGAAAUGCUAUAUUGUACUCCCUUUCCCAGCCUCCCUUCAGUCAACAAGGGGUUAUGGCCCAGCUGUCACCAAUGUACAUCUGAAUUAAAACCUCUGGAAGCUUCUGGGAAAGAUUUA